rnacentral:rRNA from 1 species
GAACGCGAAGAACCUUACCAGGUCUUGACAUCCCUCUGACCGCUCUAGAGAUAGAGCUUUCCUUCGGGACAGAGGUGACAGGUGGUGCAUGGUUGUCGUCAGCUCGUGUCGUGAGAUGUUGGGUUAAGUCCCGCAACGAGCGCAACCCCUAUUGUUAGUUGCCAUCAUUUAGUUGGGCACUCUAGCGAGACUGCCGGUAAUAAACCGGAGGAAGGUGGGGAUGACGUCAAAUCAUCAUGCCCCUUAUGACCUGGGCUACACACGUGCUACAAUGGCUGGUACAACGAGUCGCAAGCCGGUGACGGCAAGCUAAUCUCUUAAAGCCAGUCUCAGUUCGGAUUGUAGGCUGCAACUCGCCUACAUGAAGUCGGAAUCGCUAGUAAUCGCAGGUCAGCAUACUGCGGUGAAUACGUUCCCGGGUCUUGUACACACC